rnacentral:snRNA from 1 species
AAGUAUUACAGCUCUUUCAGAAUUUGUCUAGAAGGUUUUCUGACUUUCAUCGAGACCCUC